rnacentral:rRNA from 1 species
UCCGGUGGCCAUGGCGAGAGGGUCACACCCGUUCCCAUCCCGAACACGGAAGUUAAGCCUCUCAGCGCCGAUGGUACUUGGGGAGUGAUCCCCUGGGAGAGUAGGACGCUGCCGGAU